GUUCAUCAUUGACUAUUGGAGGAGUGAUUGGUGGAUUAGCAAUGUGGUUCUCUGAAAUCUUCAGCUUGGUAGGGUGGCUCGCCAUUGCAUUUGGAAAGGUGCUCUCUCUUGUCCUUCAUUCCAGUUACGCUGCAUUUGAUUGUCAAUAUGUUCAAGUAAUAAGGCAAACCGGAAGUGGUGGAAAGGGUUUUACUUCCAUUUGUUAUUUUCAUGGAAGUUGUGGAAGGGCCAAGAUAUUAUUCGAAAUCAACAUGAAUCAGGUCAAGGGAAUCACUCAUUCUACAUUUUCUCUGUUGGGUUUCAAUCACUAAUGGAGUUCACUGUUUGUUAUAGAACAUUUGGUGGCUCGAUCUUGGGAGACUUUCAUUGGGAAUUGGCAUUGGAAUUUUUUCCUAUGUGAAGUAACACCUACAAAUCUUAGGGGACCAUUUGCAUCAGCUAACGAGGUAUAAUGAAAUCAUUGUGGCUUUAAACCAAUCUCCAACUCAUUGUUAACAUACCAAUGCUUUGUCAAGAGCGCAGUUGCUCCUAGCUUGUGGUGUUUCACUAAUGUAUUUCAUCGGAAAUAUCAUUACCUGGCGUACCCUAGCAUUAAUAGGUACUACUCCAUGUCUUGUACAACUAAUGGGAUUAUUCUUCGUUCCAGAGUCUCCUAGAUGGCUGG